rnacentral:rRNA from 1 species
GGGCUCAGUAACACGUGGACAACCUGCCCUUAGGACGGGGAUAAACCCGGGAAACUGGGUAUAAUACCCGAUAGGUCUCGAUUGCUGGAAUGCAUCGAGAUUUAAAGCUCCGGCGCCUAAGGAUGGGUCUGCGGCCUAUCAGGUAGUAGUGGGUGUAGCGUACCUACUAGCCUACGACGGGUACGGGUUGUGAGAGCAAGAGCCCGGAGAUGGAUUCUGAGACACGAAUCCAGGCCCUACGGGGUGCAGCAGGCGCGAAAACUUUACAAUGCUGGCAACAGCGAUAAGGGAACCUCGAGUGCCAGGUUACAAAUCUGGCUGUCGAGAUGCCUAAAAAGCAUUUCAUAGCAAGGGCCGGGCAAGACCGGUGCCAGCCGCCGCGGUAACACCGGCGGCUCGAGUGGUAACCGUUAUUAUUGGGUCUAAAGGGUCUGUAGCCGGCCGGAUAAGUCUCUUGAGAAAUCUGGCAGCUUAACUGUCAGGCUUUCAGGAGAUACUGUCUGGCUCGAGGCCGGGAGAGGUGAGAGGUACUCCAGGGGUAGGGGUGAAAUCUUGUAAUCCUUGAAGGACCACCAGUGGCGAAGGCGUCUCACCAGAACGGACCUGACGGCAAGGGACGAAAGCUAGGGGCACGAACCGGAUUAGAUACCCGGGUAGCCCUAGCCGUAAACGAUACUCGCUAGGUGUCGGCCACGGUGCGACCGUUGUCGGUGCCGUAGG